UACGAAGGGGCUAGCGUUGCUCGGAAUUACUGGGCGUAAAGCGCACGUAGGCGGAUCUUUAAGUCAGGGGUGAAAUCCUGGAGCUCAACUCCAGAACUGCCUUUGAUACUGAGGAUCUUGAGUUCGGGAGAGGUGAGUGGAACUGCGAGUGUAGAGGUGAAAUUCGUAGAUAUUCGCAAGAACACCAGUGGCGAAGGCGGCUCACUGGCCCGAUACUGACGCUGAGGUGCGAAAGCG
rnacentral:rRNA from 1 species